rnacentral:rRNA from 1 species
AUUGAACGCUGGCGGCAGGCUUAACACAUGCAAGUCGAACGAGUGGCGGACGGGUGAGUAAUGCUUGGGAAUCUGGCUUAUGGAGGGGGAUAACUACGGGAAACUGUAGCUAAUACCGCAUACCAUCGGAUGAGCCCAGAUGGGCUUAGGUAGUUGGGGGGGUAAAGGCUCACCAAGCCGACGAUCUCUAUCGGGUGUGAGAGGAUGACCACCCACACUGUAACGGAGACACGGCCCAGACUCCUACGGGAGGCAGCAGUGGGGAAUAUUGCGCAAUGGGGGCAACCUGACGCAGCCAUGCCGCGUGAAUGAAGAAGGCCUUCGGGUUGUAAAGUUCUUUCGGUAAAUAGGCGUUAACCGCAGAAGAAGCACCGGCUAACUCCGUGCCAGCAGCCGCGGUAAUAC